UACGGAGGGUGCAAGCGUUAUCCGGAUUCACUGGGUUUAAAGGGUGCGUAGGUGGACUGCCAAGUCCGGGGUGAAAUCUUUCGGCUUAACCGGAAAAGGGCCUUGGAAACUGGCGGUCUCGAGGGAGGUAGGGGCCUGUGGAACUUCGGGUGGAGCGGUGAAAUGCGUUGAUAUCCGAAGGAACGCCGGUGGCGAAAGCGACGGGCUGGAUCUCUUCUGACGCUGAGGCGCGAAAGCCAGGGGAGCAAACGGG
rnacentral:rRNA from 1 species